GGCAAAAUGGGUAUACAACUGUAUAAAUGUGGUUAAAAAUCUUAAAAUACAAAUAUUUUGGUUCGUUCCUAUCCAAUUCAUGUUUUGCUGACUGGGAGACAAUUUGCCUACUGACUGACGAGUGUUUUUCCCCCUACACCCCCUCACCCUGCCAGAAAUAAACAAGUACAUAGCAAUUAUUUGAUACACACAGGUGAACAAUUAACGAACUAGGUAUUUAAAUUAAUGACAUCGUAAACACGGACAGAACGCAGUAUCAAUACUUGAACAGCUAUCAUUCAUUAGUC